rnacentral:rRNA from 1 species
AUGUUAACAAUUGCGCUGCCUGGGCUAAACCCCAUCCUACAGCGACCUACUUUGGCAGCACAGCGGCUGGACUGGGUUUUUAUUGAUGUGCCCACUGCUUCGGAGCUAAGCUGGCUUAAUUACAAGAAUUGUGCAGUUCUCAAAGUGGUUAAGGGUGAGGUUUCUGCCUCAGAGUUACUCAUUCAGCUCAAUGGGAUUUUUUGCAAAAACAAAGAGUGGCCUUGGCAGAUUAGGGACUUGGGAGAGAAGAAAUUCUUACUGAGAUUUCCCCCUUGGAAAAAUGUAGAAGAUCUGAUAGAGUUUCCUGCAUUUGAGCUCCCAAUUGAUGGUGUUUCUGUCAAGAUCUGUGAAUGGGUAGGAAUGCUAGAUGAAUUUGGAGGACUUACUGAGGCCUGGAUUCAAAUUGAGGGAAUUCCUCCCAAGUGGUGUGCCUGGAAUGUUUUUGCCCAGAUUACAACUUGUUUUGGGAUCCUGGUGGAUGUGGAUUGGAAUGGUAUAUUUAAGAGCUUCUAUGAGAACAUCAGAGUGAAAGUGGCUUGUAGAGACCCCAAGAAAAUUCCUUUUGAGAGAUUAGUUGAAAUGAAGAGGAAGAUGUACAUUCUGUUCUUCACUGUUGAAGGGUUUGAACAACUAGGAGAAGAUUCUGAUGGUGAUGACCUGGACCCAGAUUUAGACAAAUACUGA